UACGGGGGGGGCAAGCGUUGUUCGGAAUUACUGGGCGUAAAGGGCUCGUAGGCGGCCAACUAAGUCAGACGUGAAAUCCCUCGGCUUAACCGGGGAACUGCCUUUGAUACUGGCGACCUUGAGUCCGGGAGAGGUGAGUGGAACUGCGAGUGUAGAGGUGAAAUUCGUAGAUAUUAGGAAGAACACCAGUGGCGAAGGCGGCUCACUGGCCCGGUACUGACGCUGAGGCGCGAAAGCGUGGGGAGCAAACAGG
rnacentral:rRNA from 1 species